GGGAGUGAAAGGCUUCGACGGAGAAUGUUCUUUUACAAGAGGCAAGCCGAGCAUGAGCCAAGCUCGUUAAAGAGGUUCACCUUAAAACUGCCAACAGAAAUGUUGCUGUAGCUUACGCAUAACUUAACUUGCUAAGCCAUCGCUCAAGUGUCGCUUUCGCGCUUGGUUAGCGGUGUUAUAUUGAAAGCUGCUCGCUGAUGAAUUUUCGGGUUCGCCAUCAGCGCUAAGAUCUGAAUCCUUGCGGCGGCCCCCGGCCUUUAAUGGGGGACAUGCUUGUAGAUUCUUGUAGGCGACUUCUUUGGACGGGGUUUCGAUACCCCCACUUCCACAA
rnacentral:tmRNA from 1 species